UUUAAACCCUGCGUGAGGGAUUGAAGCGGCAUCCUUUUUAAAUGAUCUCCGAGUGAUUUGCUUGAUAAAGCAAAUGGUAUCGAGGUUCCAGAUUAAAAAGAUAGAGCGUAAAAGCCCGACCUCGC
rnacentral:sRNA from 2 species